GACGAACCGUGCGAACGUUGUUCGGAAUCACUGGGCUUAAAGGGCGCGUAGGCGGGCUGGCCAGUCCGGGGUGAAAGCCCACGGCUCAACCGUGGAAGUGCCCCUGAUACUGCCAGCCUCGAGGGAGGUAGGGGCGUGCGGAACUUCCGGUGGAGCGGUGAAAUGCGUAGAUAUCGGAAGGAACACCGGUGGCGAAAGCGGCGCGCUGGACCUCUUCUGACGCUGAGGCGCGAAAGCCAGGGGAGCAAACGGG
rnacentral:rRNA from 1 species